AAUUAUAUAGUCUAUAAGGAUUUUAGAUUGCAAGUCUAAGGGUGGGUAAUUCCUAUAAUUU
rnacentral:tRNA from 1 species